rnacentral:tRNA from 1 species
GCGGGAGUAGCGCAGCGGUAGCGCGUCUGCUUCCCAAGCAGAAUGUCGCGGGUUCGAAUCCCGUCUCCCGCUCCA